rnacentral:rRNA from 1 species
AGCUAUUAAGGGCAUAUGGGGGAUGUCUUGGUGUUAGAAGAAUGGGCGUGGAAGUCUGCGAUAAGCUUGGGGGAGUCGACAAACGGACGUUGAUCCCGAGAUCCUCAAUCCAACCUAGGGAACUGAAACAUCUAAGUACCUAGAGGAGUAGAAAGAAAACUCGAUUCCGUCAGUAGCGGCGAGCGAAAGCGGAGUAGCCUAAACCGUGAGGGUUUCCCUCGCGGGGUUGUAGGGUUGCUUUUAUGGGAGUUACAAAACUUCGGUUAGCGGAAUGGUAUUGAAAGGCCAGCCACAGAGGGUGAGAGUCCCGUACGCGAAAACUGCAAGUCUCUCUAGCAAUUCCUGAGUAGGUCGGGGCACGUGAAACCCUGACUGAAUCCACGGGGACCAUCCCGUAAGGCUAAAUACUCUCUAACGACCGAUAGUGAAUCCAGUAGGGCGACUGAAUGAUGGAAAGAACCCCUAUAAGGGGAGGUCAUUGAACCUGAAACCAUAUGCCUACAAGCGGUCGGAGCACGUUAAUGUGUGACGGCGUGCCUUUUGCAUAAUGAUCCGGCGAGUUACGGUUAGUGGCUUGGUUAAGUUCUUACGGAACGAAGCCCCAGGGAAACCGAGUGUUAAUAGCGCGAAUGUCACUGGCCGUAGACGCGAAACUGCGUGAUCUACCCAUGAGCAGGUUGAAGCAAGGGUUACACUUUGUGGAGGACCGAACCCACUUAGGUUGAAAACUGAGGGGAUGACUUGUGGGGAGGAGUGAAAGUCUAAUCAAACGCAGAGAUAGCUCGUUCUCUCCGAAAUAGCUUUUGGGCUAGCGUCGUGCCACUAUUUACUGGGGGUAGAGAGACUGAUUUGGAUGGGGGCCCUUCCCGGGGUACCUCACUGAGCCAAACUCCGAAUACCAGUAAAACUAUCACGGCAGUCAGUCCGCGAGGGAUAAGCUUCGCGGUCGAGAGGGAAACAACCCAGACCAUCGGCUAAGGUCCCGAAUCUAUACUAAGUCACUAAGGAGGUUAAUUUGCAGUGACAGCCAGGAUGUUGGCUUAGAAGCAGCCACCAUUUAAAAAGUGCGUAACAGCUUACUGGUCGAGCAAAUUUGCGCCGAUAAUGAACGGGAGUAAGUAUAGAACCGAAGCCGUGGAUUCGAAAGAAUGGUAGGAGAGCGCUGUAUGGGAGAUACGAGCCGGACGGAAACGACCGGUGGUGGCCCAUACAGGUGAUUAUGCCGGAAUGAGUAACGAUUAAACAGGUGAGAAUCCUGUUCGCCGAAAGCCUAAGGUUUCCUGGGGAAGGUAAUUCCGCCCAGGGUUAGCCGGACCCUUAGUCGAGGCCGAAAGGCGUAGACGAUGGACAGCAGGUUAAUAUUCCUGUGCCGGUGUGUGGCUGAUGGAGGGACGGCAUCCAGAGAGUGAUCGGACGACUAGAAAUGUCCGUGGAGAUAGUUGAGUUGGCGGGGAUUAAAAGACCUGCGGAAUACAAGACUAUUGACUGACCUUCGGGGUAAUCACAGGAAGGAUGUCCAAGAAAAGCUCCUAGGAUCAAUCACACCGUCCGUACUAAAACUGACACAGGUAGGCGGGUCGAGUAGACUAAGGCGCUCGGGAGAACGGUGGUUAAGGAACUCUGCAAAAUGAUCCCGUAAGUUCGCAAUAAGGGAUGCCUGCGAGAGCAGGCCACAGUAAAUCGAUUCCAACGACUGUUUAUCAAAAACACAGGUCUCUGCUAACACGUAAGUGGAUGUAUAGAGACUGACGCCUGCCCGGUGCUGGUAGGUUAAGGAAGUAUGUUAGCCCUCGGGUGAAGCAUCCGACCGAAGCCCCAGUAAACGGCGGCCGUAACUAUGACGGUCCUAAGGUAGCGAAAUUCCUUGUCGGGUAAGUUCCGACCUGCAUGAAAGGCGUAACGAUUGGAAUACUGUCUCAACCACCGACCCGGUGAAAUUGUAGUCGUGGUGAAGAUGCCACGUACCCGCGGU